AUUGAACGCUGGCGGCAUGCCUUACACAUGCAAGUCGAACGGUAACAGGUCUUCGGAUGCUGACGAGUGGCGAACGGGUGAGUAAUGCAUCGGAACGUAUCCCGUAGUGGGGGACAACGCCGCGAAAGCGGCGCUAAUACCGCAUAUGCUCUACGGAGGAAAGUGGGGGACCGCAAGGCCUCACGCUAUGGGAGGGGCCGAUGUCCGAUUAGCUAGUUGGUGGGGUAAUGGCCCACCAAGGCGACGAUCGGUAGCUGGUCUGAGAGGAUGAUCAGCCACACUGGGACUGAGACACGGCCCAGACUCCUACGGGAGGCAGCAGUGGGGAAUUUUGGACAAUGGGGGCAACCCCGAUCCAGCCAUGCCGCGUGCGGGAAGAAGGCCUUCGGGUUGUAAACCGCUUUUAGUCGGGAAGAAAAGGCAUCUCCUAAUACGGGGUGUUCUUGACGGUACCGGCGGAAUAAGCACCGGCUAACUACGUGCCAGCCGCCGCCGUAAGAC
rnacentral:rRNA from 1 species